rnacentral:rRNA from 1 species
UAGGGAAUUUUCGUCAAUGGGGGAAACCCUGAACGAGCAAUGCCGCGUGAGUGAAGAAGGUCUUCGGAUCGUAAAGCUCUGUUGUAAGUGAAGAACGGCUCAUAGAGGAAAUGCUACGGGAGUGACGGUAGCUUACCAGAAAGCCACGGCUAACUACGCGCCAGCAGCCGCGGUAAUACGUAGGUGGCAAGCGUUAUCCGGAAUCAUUGGGCGUAAAGGGUGCGUAGGUGGCGUACUAAGUCUGUAGUAAAAGGCAAUGGCUCAACCAUUGUAAGGUAUGGAAACUGGUAUGCUGGAGUGCAGAAGGGGGCGAUGGAAUUCCAUGUGUAGCGGUAAAAUGCGUAGAUAAAUGGAGGAACACCAGUGGCGAAGGCGGUCGCCUGGUCUAUAACAGACACUGAGGCACGAAAGCGUGGGGAGCAAAUAGG